AAGCCCCCUCACCCUCAUUGGCUGCUUCGAUCUUCAGCUCCAGCAUGUUGUCAGCACCGAUCAGAAGUGGGGAGUCGCCCCUGUGUGUGCAGGGGUCACUGGUUUAGGACUGGAGGCCAGGAGGAGGAGAGGGGCCUCAGAAAGUGCUCGAAGGCCUGUCAUGACUGGCUGGAUGCAAUCCACAGGCACCUGGGUAUCCAUUGUCAUCGAUGUCUACAACACCACGAAGGGAGAAGCCAAAGCCAGAGCCUCUGGGGAAAGGGCUGUCCAGGACCUGGGAGGGGCGCGGAGUCAGCCCCUCACUCCGACCCAGGAACACCAGCACUUGGCCCUGACCACUGGGGCCCCCAUAGGGGGCAGCCACAGCAACAUCUGGAGAGAGAGAAAGAGUGUGCUAUUUGUGAUUGAGUCUCCCCAGGCGAUGCUGCCAAUCUCCCCCGAGGCUUCUUUAGGGAGGCCCUGGGGGAACAGGAAAAGGGUACAAAGUCUGUAUCAAAGAAGCAGGAGAGAGAUCAGUCAAGUUUUGCUUUUUGGGUUUUUGUUUGUUUGGUUUUGGUUUUUGCUUUUUCGAGACAGGGUUUCUCUGUGGCUUUGGAGGCUGUUCUGGAACUAGCUCUUGUAGACCAGGAUGGUCUGGAACUCACUGAGAUCUGCCUGCUUCUGCCUCCCGAGUGCUGGGAUUAAAGGCGUGCGCCACCAACGCCCGGCAGAGAGAUCAGUCAAGUAUUAACAAUUGGUAUAAAAGCUCCAACAGUCCUCCCUGUCCAUUAAGGGAAACACACCAACAAGAUUCCAUUUACUCCCAACAAUUGGAUGUUGUUAUCCUAUUCACUAUUAUUGUUAAUUUGAGACAGGGAUUUUUGUUUGCUGGUUGGUUGGUUUGGUUUUUCUGAGAUAGGGUUUCUCUUUUGUAACCCUGACUGUUCUGGAACUUGUUGUGAAGACUAUGCUUGUCUCAGACUCAGAGUUCUGACUGCCUCUGCCUCCCUGUGUUGGAAUUAAAGAUGUUGGAAACCAUGCCCGUGAGACAGGGUUGUGGUAUAUGUCA